rnacentral:rRNA from 1 species
UACAGAGACUGCAAGCGUUAUUCGGAUUCACUGGGCGUAAAGGGUGCGCAGGCGGUUGGGUGUGUCAGAUGUGAAAUCCCGAGGCUUAACCUCGGAACUGCGUCUGAAACUACUCGACUAGAGUACUGGAGAGGGAAACGGAAUUCACGGUGUAGCAGUGAAAUGCGUAGAUAUCGUGAGGAACACCAGAGGCGAAGGCGGUUUCCUGGACAGUUACUGACGCUGAGGAGCGAAAGCGUGGGGAGCGAACAGG